rnacentral:rRNA from 1 species
GUGAGAGUUUCGAUCGUAACUCUGUUGUAGAGAAGACAGAUGAGAGUAAAUGUCAUCCUUGACUGUAUCUACAGAAAAGCAACGGCUAACUACGUGCCAGCAGCCGCGGUUAUAACGUAAGUGGCCAAGCGUUGUCCUGGAUUUAUUGGGCGUAAAGGCGAGGCGCAGGCGGUUUCUUAAGUCUGAUUGUGAAAGCCCCCGGCUCACCCGGGAGGGGUCAUUGGAAACUUGGAAGACUUGAAGUGCAGAAGAGAAGAGUGGAAUUCCAUUGUGUAGCGGUGAAAGGCGUAGAAUAUAUGAAGGAACACCAGUGGCGAGGGCGGCUUUUUGGUCUGUAACUGACGUUGAGGCUGGAAAGCGUGGGGAGCGACCAGGAUUAGAUACCUUGGUGGUCCACCCGGUAAACGAUGAGUGUUAAGUGUUGGAGGGUUUCGGCCCUUCAGUGUUGCGGCAAACCCAUUAACCAUUCCCCCUGGGGAGUAGGACCGCAAGGUUGAAAUUCAAAGGAAUUGACGGGGGCCCGCCCAAGCGGUGGAGCAUGUGGUUUAUUUGGAAGCAACCCGAAGACCCUUACCAGGUCUUGACUCCCUUUGACCACUUAAGAGAUAGAGCUUCCCCUUCGGGGGCAAAGUAACAGGUGGUGCAUGGUGGUGGUCAGCUCGUGUCGUGAGAUGUUGGGUUAAUUCCCGCAACGAGCGCACCCCUUAUUUUUAGUUCCCUCCAUUUAGUUGGCCAUUCAAGCGAGACGGCCGGGGACAAACCGGAGGAAGGGGGGGAGGAGGUCAAAUCAUCAUCCCCCUUAUACCUUGGGCUCCCCACGUGUUCCAAUGGGAAGUACAACAAGUUGGGAGGUCGGGGGGUUAAGUUAAUUUUUUAAAGCUUUUCCCAGUUCGGAUUGUAGGCUGCAAUUGCCCUCCAGAACCCGGAUUCGGUUGGUAAUCGCGGUUCGCCCCGCGGGGAGGAAUAGGUUCCCGGCCCUUUUUCAUGGACGCCCCUCCUC